AGGGGCAGCAUGGUCUUAGCUUGCUAAGGCCGAUGGCGACCGGCGCACGGGUGAGUAACACGUAUCCAACCUGCCGUCUACUCUUGGACAGCCUUCUGAAAGGAAGAUUAAUACAAGAUGGCAUCAUGAGUCCGCAUGUUCACAUGAUUAAAGGUAUUCCGGUAGACGAUGGGGAUGCGUUCCAUUAGAUAGUAGGCGGGGUAACGGCCCACCUAGUCUUCGAUGGAUAGGGGUUCUGAGAGGAAGGUCCCCCACAUUGGAACUGAGACACGGUCCAAACUCCUACGGGAGGCAGCAGUGAGGAAUAUUGGUCAAUGGGCGAGAGCCUGAACCAGCCAAGUAGCGUGAAGGAUGACUGCCCUAUGGGUUGUAAACUUCUUUUAUAAAGGAAUAAAGUCGGGUAUGGAUACCCGUUUGCAUGUACUUUAUGAAUAAGGAUCGGCUAACUCCGUGCCAGCAGCCGCGGUAAUACGGAGGAUCCGAGCGUUAUCCGGAUUUAUUGGGUUUAAAGGGAGCGUAGAUGGAUGUUUAAGUCAGUUGUGAAAGUUUGCGGCUCAACCGUAAAAUUGCAGUUGAUACUGGAUAUCUUGAGUGCAGUUGAGGCAGGCGGAAUUCGUGGUGUAGCGGUGAAAUGCUUAGAUAUCACGAAGACUCCGAUUGCGAAGGCAGCCUGCUAAGCUGCAACUGACAUUGA
rnacentral:rRNA from 1 species